rnacentral:lncRNA from 1 species
CACCAACAUUUCAACUUGUCGGAAUUAUAGAAAUUAGACCUUCCCACCUGUCUACUACUAGACCUGGUUUGUGGUUCCUAACGUUAAAUAUUUCGUUUGAUAUAAAAAUGAUUUAAAAUGAGCCUGAAGCGAAGCGAAAAAUAUCCGAUUACCGACACUAAUUUUCAGGCCUGGUAUAUAGUAAGGUGUGGGCACCUAGAAGAAGAUUCCUCAGAUCCGAUUUGCCAUUUUCAAAUAUUCCUCAAAAGUGCGUAAAAACAAUGGAAAAUCUGACCAUACAUUACGCCAAAUUUGCACAUGGAAAAGCACUUCACAAUCUCAAGUGACAGAUAAGGAUGUAUGAUAACAUAAUGAUUCCAUACGAUUCUCCUAUAAUGUAUGUGUGAAAAAUUGAAAAUAUUCCGCAUGAAAAUGUUGCCUUGCUAUGGCAAAUGUUCCUUAGGAUCCCGAGAUCGCUCUUUUUCCUGGAGGUAAAUUGUUCUGUCGGCUGAAAGUCCUGUUGGCAAAAUGUCCACUCAGAAGCUCGUGGGUUCGAUUCUCGCUACGGACUCAUGUGAAAACAGUCAGUCAAAGCUCUGCCGAAAGUCGUGGGUUUUCUCCAGGUGCUCUAGUAUUGCAUCACUUUCAUUGAAUAUCCAUUUUCCAGCCAUAUUUGUAUAAAAUAAGUAUAAAAUAACAAUUUCUGAAGAAAUGCAAUCCUGUAUUUAAAAAGUGUAUAAAAGUUUUAUAAACCGUAAAAAAUGUUGUUUAUGUUCAAUCGAUUGUUUUUCAGAUUUUGGAGGGACAAGUUGGACAUCAAGGUUGAUUUUCCGUUGACGUACGUAUUCUGUUGUGAUUUUCUACUCGCUUAAUAUUUAUACAAUUAUUUUUGAGGUUAUAGCUGCUUUCCUGGGUAGAACCAGUUCGACAAUAGAAGGAGAAAAUCGCAACUAAAUCGCAGCAAACAUCGCCCGUGUUAACGGGCCUUAACACAACCUAACAAAAAAUGACCAAAGAAACAACGAAAAUAUUUUUAGAACAAUUUGUAUUACAACUUACCAUAAUAGUUGUAAGCAAAACAGUAUUUAUUCAUAGCUUUUAUUAAUCUUAUUGAUUAGAAAUAGCUUUGAAGAAUACAUCCACUUUGUGGCUUUCUUCGUGCUUGGGAAAAUCGCAGCUUCGUUUCGUACAAAAAUUUGCUCGUCUGUAACCGGAAUGAAACGGGAGGCCAUUUUGUUUUUCUCCAGUGGUGAAUAGUGCAAGGAUAUCCGGAGCUGAGCAACCAAUCAAAUUGCGCGAAAAGAACUAUCCACCUCUGGAGUAUAUGCUAAUUACUUUUAAAUCAAACUUCGCUAAAUAUAUAUUAAGCUACUGCGUUUGCUAUUCUAAGGUAUGAUUUUACACCGCUCUGUAAACAAAAAUGUAAUAGUAGAUUUUUACAUGCUUUUGUCGGCUUAUUCAACCCAUUUUCACAACGCCAGAACGUACGAACUGGCAUUCCCGUUUCGCGUCAUGUAAUCGUACGGUCUCUAUUUCACUCACUGUGGCAUGCGAACAUCAUUCUUGUGACGUCAUUUUGUGACAUGUUUCUUCCAUCGUCCUCAAAACUGGAAUGCCAUGCAGCUUGUUCAUUCAUCCUAAUCCCUGUUCUCUUUGCAGUAAUUUCGACAUGUCAAAAUAUGUGAUGAAUGAAGGACAUCCACCUGCAAUUUAUGACUUGCAUGCAGUUUCGGUGAGUGAUGACACUAUGCUUAUCAUAGAAAUUAUAAAUAACACUAGAGGGGGCAUCGUAAUCUUAAUUCAGUCAAAGAAAGGGAACGCGCCUAUUGGGAGGCAAAAAAUUAAAAUGCUAAAAUAAGAGCGAGUUUGAGCCAAAAUCUCUAAAUUCUUGUUUAUGGCAGUUAAGUAGUCCCGUUUUAAUUUUUACCAAGCAUUUUUACCUCAAUUUUGUCUAUAACACAUUUUUGAGAGCGCUCCAAAAUAAUGCUGAUGUCAGCAAUUUUUAUGUUUUCAAGAGGAACUGAAUAAUUUUGAAUUCAAAAUUUUGGGGGGGCGUUUUGUACUAAUGACAUGCAAAACAUAUAAAAUACCCAAUUUUGUGACUCUUGUUUUAAAUUUUUCUAGUUUCAUGUGUAACCCAAGAGUUGUGCAUGUUGUGUUCAUCCGGAAUUUCAAUUUGUCCCCCAUUACCGCGCUCCCAAAUUCCACCCUCGAUGCCCCCUCUAGAGUGUUAUUUAUAAUCUCUAUGAUGCUUAUUACUUUGCGUGUGGAGAUGACGACAUCUAGAUUUUUGAUCGUACCAGACUAGUCCUCCAACGGUUUUUGUUUCGUCAGUUAUGUUUAAAUAGUUGUAUUUUUAUAUUUUCCUUUAGAAUCAUUUUGGAGGCCUUGGUGGAGGACAUU